rnacentral:rRNA from 1 species
CUACGGGGGGCAGCAGUGGGGAAUUUUGGACAAUGGACGCAAGUCUGAUCCAGCCAUUCCGCGUGCAGGACGAAGGCCUUCGGGUUGUAAACUGCUUUUGUACAGAACGAAAAGGUUUCUAUUAAUACUAGGAGCUCAUGACGGUACUGUAAGAAUAAGCACCGGCUAAUUACGUGCCAGCAGCCGCGGUAAUACGUAGGGUGCAAGCGUUAAUCGGAAUUACUGGGCGUAAAGCGUGCGCAGGCGGUUAUGUAAGACAGAGGUGAAAUCCCCGGGCUCAACCUGGGAACUGCCUUUGUGACUGCAUAGCUGGAGUACGGCAGAGGGGGAUGGAAUUCCGCGUGUAGCAGUGAAAUGCGUAGAUAUGCGGAGGAACACCGAUGGCGAAGGCAAUCCCCUGGGCCUGUACUGACGCUCAUGCACGAAAGCGUGGGGAGCAAACAGGAUUAGAUACCCUAGUAGUC